CCCUUAGAUGUUCUGGGCCGCACGCGUGCUACACUGAGUGGAUCAGCGGGUCAGGUUGCGCGAAAGCGUUUCCUAAUCUUUAAAUCCGCUCGUGAUGGGGAUUGACGGUUGCAAUUUUCUGUCAUGAACGAGGAAUACCUUGUAAGCGCGGGUCAUCAUCCCGCGCUGAAUACGUCCCUGCCCUUUGUACACACCGCCCGUCGCUCCUACCGAUUGAAUGAUCCGAUGAAUAUCAUGGAUUGAGGAUGUAAGCAGGUUCGCCUGUCUUCAUCUUCGAGAAGUGAAGUAAAUCUUAUCAUUUAGAGGAAGGAGAAGUCGUAACA
rnacentral:rRNA from 1 species